AAAGGAAUUGACGGGGGCCCGCACAAGCAGCGGAGCAUGUGGUUUAAUUCGAAGCAACGCGAAGAACCUUACCUGGACUUGACAUCCCUUGCAUAGCCUAGAGAUAGGUGAAGCCCUUCGGGGCAAGGAGACAGGUGGUGCAUGGUUGUCGUCAGCUCGUGUCGUGAGAUGUUAGGUUAAGUCCUGCAACGAGCGCAACCCUUGUUAUUAGUUGCUACCAUUAAGUUGAGCACUCUAAUGAGACUGCCUGGGUAACCAGGAGGAAGGUGGGGAUGACGUCAAAUCAUCAUGCCCCUUAUGUCCAGGGCUACACACGUGCUACAAUGGUAGGUACAAUAAGACGCAAGACCGUGAGGUGGAGCAAAACUUAUAAAACCUAUCUCAGUUCGGAUUGUAGGCUGCAACUCGCCUACAUGAAGCUGGAGUUGCUAGUAAUCGCGAAUCAGAAUGUCGCGGUGAAUACGUUCCCGGGCCUUGUACACACCGCCCGU
rnacentral:rRNA from 1 species